UAUAUCUGCUGGGGGUGCCGUUUGCAGGCUGAGAUUAAAGCAAAAGCUUUAAAACCCUUGGAACCUGAUCUGGCAUACCAGCGUAGGGAAGUGGAGUAUCGGGGCU
rnacentral:ncRNA from 2 species